AACGAACGCUGGCGGCGUGCCUAACACAUGCAAGUCGAGCGAGAAAGUCCCUUCGGGGGCGAGUAGAGCGGCGGACGGGUGAGUAAUACGUGGAUAAUCUCCCCUUUAGCCUGGGAUAACCCUGCGAAAGUGGGGCUAAUACCGGAUAAGACCACAUAGCAUAUGUUACGUGGUAGAGGGUGGCUUGUAUUUAUAUGAGCUAUCACUUGAGGAUGAGUCCAUGGCCUAUCAGCUUGUUGGUGAGGUAAGAGCUUACCAAGGCUAUGACGGGUAGCUGGUCUGAGAGGACGACAGCCACACUGGGACUGAGACACGGCCCAGACUCCUACGGGAGGCAGCAGUGGGGAAUAUUGGGCAAUGGGCGAAAGCCUGACCCAGCGACGCCGCGUGGGUGAUGAAGGCCUUCGGGUUGUAAAGCCCUUUCGUGCGGAAAGAACAGCCCUGUAGCUAAUAUCUGCAGGGUUUGACGGUACCGCAGGGAGAAGCACCGGCUAACUCCGUGCCAGCAGCCGCCGUAA
rnacentral:rRNA from 1 species